rnacentral:ncRNA from 2 species
CGUCAUCUAAUUAGUGACGCGCA